rnacentral:rRNA from 1 species
AAUAGAUACCCCGGUAGUCCACGCCGUAAACGAUGGAUGCUAGCUAUUGGGGGGAAUCGACCCCCUCCGAAGCGAAGCUAACGCGUUAAGCGUCCCGCCUGAGUAGUACGAGCGCAAGCUUAAAACUCAAAGGAAUUGACGGGGACCCGCACAAGCGGUGGAGCGUGUGGUUUAAUUCGAUGGUAAACGAAGAACCUUACCAAGGUUUGACAUCCCGGUAGCCGUUCUCCGAAAGGAGAAUUUCAUUUAGUUGGACCGGUGACAGGUGAUGCAUGGCCGUCGUCAGCUCGUGUCGUGAGAUGUUGGGUUAAGUCCCGCAACGAGCGCAACCCUUAUGAUUUAGUUGGAUUUUUCUAAACAGACUGCCCUGGUAACAGGGAGGAAGGAGGGGAUGAUGUCAGGUCAGUAUUUCCCUUACACCUUGGGCGACACACGCGCUACAAUGGCCGGUACAAUGGGCAGCUAAGCCGCGAGGUGGAGCAAAUCCCAUCAAAGCCGGUCCCAGUUCGGAUUGCAGGCUGAAACCCGCCUGCAUGAAGCCGGAAUCGCUAGUAACC